UACGGAGGGUGCAAGCGUUAUCCGGAUUUACUGGGUUUAAAGGGUGCGUAGGUGGGUCUGUAAGUCAGUGGUGAAAUCUCCGGGCUUAACCCGGAAAUUGCCAUUGAUACUAUAGGUCUUGAAUCAUCUGGAGGUAAGCGGAAUAUGUCAUGUAGCGGUGAAAUGCUUAGAUAUGACAUAGAACACCUAUUGCGAAGGCAGCUUACUACGCAGAGAUUGACGCUCAUGCACGAAAGCGUGGGGAUCAAACAGG
rnacentral:rRNA from 1 species